CUUUCUCCAAGAUUGAAGUUAGAACUAGGAGUCCUAAAAUCUUAAUGAAAAGGAGCUUGGCAUCCAUGUGUUCGAGAGGUAGAAAACGACCGCUGUGGCGGGGUUUACCAGGUAGGUAUAAUUCAACGGGACCCUAUCCCGUCCUGUGGUCCUGAACAAAGGUUCCAUCCUGAAAAUAAAAGAGCUCGAGAGGUAGAAAACGACCGCUAUGGCGGGGUUUACCAGGUAGAUAUAGUUCAACGGGACCCUAUCCCGUCCUCUGAUCCUGAACAAAGGUUCCAUCCUGAAAAUAAAAGAGGGCCUUCACGGAAAAACUGUUGGAACGAAAUCUCUCAUACAAAAAGACCUGAACUAACUACUCGCUCAAUGAGCAUUGAAAUUCUAAUGAAUGCCCUUAUUUAGCAUCUUUGAGUUGAGCUUAGCCCUCUUCCUAUCCUAAACCCCUAGAAUCAUAAGGAACGAUUGAUGGUUGAUCUGGCAAUUCUUUUUAGUAAUUAGUUAGUCUAUCAAGCAGAAAACUAUGACUGAGGAAGUCUCAGGGAGGGCACCCCCUUUUAAGGUAAUUAUAUGCCGUCGCCCCCCACGUUAGAACUCUCUUUAACCGGAAUCUUUAUGGCUAAACCUUUUUUUUUAACCGAUUAAAUCGUAAGUUGC
rnacentral:lncRNA from 1 species